GACGAACGCUGGCGGCGUGCUUAACACAUGCAAGUCGAACGGAAAGGCCCUGCUUUUGUGGGGUGCUCGAGUGGCGAACGGGUGAGUAACACGUGAGUAACCUGCCCUUGACUUUGGGAUAACUUCAGGAAACUGGGGCUAAUACCGGAUAGGAGCUCCUGCUGCAGGGUGGGGGUUGGAAAGUUUCGGCGGGUGGGGAGGGACUCGGGGCUUAUCGGCUUGUUGGUGGGGUAGUGGCUUACCAGGGAUUUGACGGGUAGCGGCCCUGAAAGGGGUGCCGGCCACAUAGGGACUAAGAAACGGCCCAGACUCCUACGGGAGGCAGCAGUGGGGAAUAUUGCACAAUGAGCGGAAGCCUGAUCCAGCACCGCCGCGUGCGGGAUAACGGCCUUCGGGUUGUAAACCGCUUUCGCCUGUGACAGAGCGUGAGUGACGGUAAUGUGUAAAGAAGCACCGGCUAACUACGUG
rnacentral:rRNA from 1 species